rnacentral:rRNA from 1 species
UACGAAGGGGGCUAGCGUUGCUCGGAAUCACUGGGCGUAAAGCGCACGUAGGCGGCUUCUUAAGUCAGGGGUGAAAUCCUGGAGCUCAACUCCAGAACUGCCUUUGAUACUGAGAAGCUUGAGUCCGGGAGAGGUGAGUGGAACUGCGAGUGUAGAGGUGAAAUUCGUAGAUAUUCGGCAAGAACACCAGUGGCGAAGGCGGCUCACUGGCCCGGUACUGACGCUGAGGUGCGAAAGCGUGGGGAGCAAACAGG